rnacentral:rRNA from 1 species
CUCGGUGACGAUAGCGAUAGGGACCCACCUCUUUCCAUUCCGAACAGAGAAGUUAAACCUAUAAGCGCUGAAGAUACUAAGGCUUUGACCUUGGGAAAAUAAGUCGUUGCCGGGA